rnacentral:rRNA from 1 species
AACGAACGCUGGCGGCAUGCCUAACACAUGCAAGUCGAACGAAGCCUUCGGGCUUAGUGGCGCACGGGUGCGUAACGCGGGGGAAUCUGCCUCUUGCUUCGGAAUAACAGUUAGAAAUGACUGCUAAUACCGGAUGAUGUCUUCGGACCAAAGAUUUAUCGGCAAGAGAUGAGCCCGCGUAGGAUUAGGUAGUUGGUGGGGUAAAGGCCUACCAAGCCGACGAUCCUUAGCUGGUCUGAGAGGAUGAUCAGCCACACUGGGACUGAGACACGGCCCAGACUCCUACGGGAGGCAGCAGUGGGGAAUAUUGGACAAUGGGGGAAACCCUGAUCCAGCAAUGCCGCGUGAGUGAUGAAGGCCUUAGGGUUGUAAAGCUCUUUUACCAGGGAUGAUAAUGACAGUACCUGGAGAAUAAGCUCCGGCUAACUCCGUGCCAGCCGCCGCUGUAAGAC